UACAGAGGAGCCAAGCGUUGUCCGGAUUGACUGGGCGUAAAGCGCACGCAGGCGGUUGCGCGCGUGGGGUGGGAAAUCUGGCCGCUUAACGGCCAGGCGCCAUCCCAUACGGCGCGACUGGAGUGAUGCAGAGGUCGAUGGAAUUCUCGGUGUAGCGGUGAAAUGCGUAGAUAUCGAGAGGAACACCUGCGGCGAAGGCGGGUUGCUGGGCCGACACUGACGCUGAUGCGCGAAAGCCAGGGGAGCGAACGGG
rnacentral:rRNA from 1 species